rnacentral:rRNA from 1 species
UGGGGAAUAUUGGACAAUGGGGGCAACCCUGAUCCAGCCAUGCCGCGUGUGUGAAGAAGGCCCUCGGGUUGUAAAGCACUUUCAGCGAGGAAGAACGCCUAGCGGUUAAUACCCAUUAGGAAAGACAUCACUCGCAGAAGAAGCACCGGCUAAUUCCGUGCCAGCAGCCGCGGUAAUACGGAGGGUGCAAGCGUUAAUCGGAAUUACUGGGCGUAAAGCGCGCGUAGGUGGCUUGAUAAGCCGGUUGUGAAAGCCCCGGGCUCAACCUGGGAACGGCAUCCGGAACUGUCAAGCUAGAGUGCAGGAGAGGAAGGUAGAAUUCCCGGUGUAGCGGUGAAAUGCGUAGAGAUCGGGAGGAAUACCAGUGGCGAAGGCGGCCUUCUGGACUGACACUGACACUGAGGUGCGAAAGCGUGGGUAGCAAACAGGAUUAGAUACCCCCGUAGUCCCUGAGCGGGCUGGCAAGGCGCAU